GAAACUUUUAAUUGAGGUCCUAAAUUUAUGCAUUAAUUAGUACUAAUUUAGGAAAUUAANCUAAAUCUGAGCCUCUCAGUGAUUCUGUGCUCUUUUUCAGUCUAGUGAGUUUCAAGCCAAUCACUACACUACAUGUAUAAUGUCAGCCCCAAGAACAAGGAUGCCUAACUAGUUUUAAAAAAGAAAUACCACGAGUUAUUCAAUAAAAUAUUAAGACUCGCAACCAUACGUAAAUUAAAAUACCAAAUAUGUACAAUAUACCAAGAUUGUUUUUUUUGGUGAUGAAAAAUUUAUAUGAUUACUCCAGUGUAGAGGUUUUCAGACCUACUAUAACUUCCUAUAGACUGCAAUAUUACAUUUUGUCUUAACUUUAUUUUAAUAUAUCUUUAUGUGAAGAAAUAAAAAGUCAUUUUAACAUCUUUUAUAUAUUAUUGAAUGUCUUAAAUAACGCUAUACGUUUUCUACUAUAACAUAUGCAUCCCGUAAAACUGUAGCGAGAGAGCGUCUUUUGUAACCGGUGCAAAACCUAAAAAAGAUUUAACACAAAAUUCAAGUUUUGUAUUUAAUUCUUUUAGCAACAUUUAAAACAAACACGAUCACUGUACAAAAAAAAAAAAAAUAAAUAUUCGUUAGUUUUCGUUUACUCUAAAAAGGCUACCGAUUCGUUUCGCGCGUCCACAUUGUCUAUUAUAAUUAUUUUCUCGACAAAAGUUAAUCUAACCACCUUAUAUAUAUAUGAUAAGUGAUUAACCGAAACUGGUUUUAAUUGAAAGAGGUAAUUAUAAUCAAUGUUUUUAGGAUAAAUAAGAAAAAAAAAAAAGGGUAAAUCAUACGUACGCUAAUUGAUCAUUAUAUAAAAAAUAGCAUGAAAGCGUAGCAUGCGUUAUUUUAAAGAGACAUUAAAGUUUACCUCAGAAUCAAAUAUUUCUUUUCGUGUUCUUCCAUACAAAUACAAGAGAUUAAGAAAAAGGCUUGUGCUAUUUGGUGGAAAGUCAAAACUACGAGGGAGAUUUUUUAUAGUGUUGAUAAUCUCGAAAAGUUAUAUAAUUUCGUUUUCUACAAUAUAAUUACAAUUAAUAUCUAAUAGUAGAUCAUUGGGAGAUCAUGCAGAUUUGUCCUAGAUUUAAUACACCCGAGAUUCAUACCACUGAUUCGAUCCAGUUUUAAGAGGGGGAUUGUUCCUGUUUUGUUCGAAAUGUAUAAAAAUAGGAAGAGUGUAGUGAGGGUAAAAUUCCCAUGCUUUGGUAAACACAAUAGAGGAAAACUUUCCUGUAAAAAACGAAAUUUAAUAUAUACAAACAGAGUUACAGAGGAGUAAAUAUGCAACACCAUCAGGAUCAAGGAAUAGAGUAAUUAUUAAUUAUAUACACUCCUAUUAUAGAUGAACUGAGUUUGUACAAAAAUAUUUCCUAGCUACGCAUGCUAUAUCAUGGUUUUUUUUUAUUUUUUACACCAUCAUACCGAUAGGAGCAACGCUCUUUUUGCAAACAAAUCCUUACCCGGGUUUAACAGUUUCACCUAGUUGGGUUUACAAUAAUGAUGUAGAGUUGUAUUGUUUGUCUUGUAAUUGAAGGUGUUAUAUAACAAAAGAAGACUUUUUUUUUUUUUCCUUUUUUUAAAUUUUCAGUUUCACACGAACUUCUUCUACAAAAACAGGAAAAGAAAAUCGGUCUCUCUCUCUCUCUCUCUCUCUCUCUCUCUCUCUCUCUCUCAACUGGAUUUUAUAGACACCAUCAAUAUUAAGUGUAAAUUAUUAAAAAAUUAUAUUAAAGUAAAAAUAGUGGAAAUACUGUUUUUUAAGUAUGGUAGUUUCGAUAAUCUUCUUCGUGAUUGAUAAUAGUGGUAAUUUUAGUGAUAAAGAAUAUAAGAAUAUCGUCAAGACUUUUAUACGUGAAACCUUUUAGAGAAGCUAUCGAAAGUUAAGAUCGUCUGAUCCUUCCAGGUUCGCUUCAAUUUAAAUAACCAUCUUUUGGGAAAUCGAAUCUAAUACUGGUUUAAUUGUUUCCUGAAUUUUUCAUUUUAAAAUUAAUUUUCUAUUUUAGAUGUGUGAACGUGUUUUGGAUGUGUGGACGUGCGUUAUUGAAACUGUACGGUAUCAAAAGUGAACUACUUUUAUUUAUCUAAAUAAACAAGGUUUUCUUUGGUAUUUUGAUUAAAUAAAGAGUAUACACUUACGUGGUACCGUUCUUUUUCGGGAUUAAGUGCAUCAAGCAAAAUAUCAACUUCUUCGUUCUUUGCCCAUAGUUGAUUGUUCCUUGAGUACCGUGUGCCUUAUUCUUUGUCAUAUGUCCUUUACGUGUUGAGGCUUCUUGGUCACGAAAACUAAGCUAAAGAACAUCUAUGUUUCGAUUAAUUAGUGGUGCCAAGUCCGAGCAGCGUUAUCGGUGUCGUUUAUCUUUGUUGUCGUCGGUUUAAACGUUGAUAUCAAUCAUCUUCUCAUCAUCAAUCGUGGUGGUGAGGCGGCUGCGAUUUUAUCAUUCUAAUCAAUGUUAGAAGUUUGUACCAUCUUUCCCGUUGGGGUCUUCGUAAGUUCAAUCCGUGUUUUUUCCUCCCCAAAACCAAUCUUCCUAUUACUGCAUACAGCAUUAUAAUCACCAAGACUAGUACAUCAUUCGUAAAUGUGCGUUAAGGCACCAAUUAAUCAGUGAAGUGUGUCGUACUAACCCACUGUGAGGAGCUCUGCUACGAGGUAGUUGACGUUCUGUUUACACAGUCUCCCCCUCCCCGCCCCCCUCUUUAAUAUUGCUCAAGUAACGUUUAAACUGAAGCGAAGAUUCUAGUAGAAAAGAUAAUCUCUUCGUCUUCUACCUUGUAUGUCGAUUUACAACCUUUUUCAAUAGAUCAUUACUUGAACACAAGACAUGUCAAAAAGAAAACAUUAUAACUCGCUUUUGAUCUAGAAAAUAAGCGACGACCGGUUACAGCAUUAAUACUCCGUCAUAUAUGAUAUUGUCAACAUCCGUAGAACUUAAUAAUGCAAGUGAAUUUAACAAGUUGUUCCAUGAGACACAUACGAUGGAUAGAGAGUUUUUUUUUUUUUUUUUUUUUUUUUUUGUUUUGUUCCAUGAGCACAUAGGAUACGAGGCUUUCGUCUUCAAGUAAACUUCGAAUACUAAGAUUGAUAUUUUUAAACCAUUUUUAUAUGUCUUAAAUGGAUUUGAUGGUAAAACUCAGCCGAUAGGUUGAAAAGUUUUAAAAUUAAAAUGAUGGGUUGGAAAAUUACACCAACUAAACUUAGUUAGCUGCCAUGAAAUUGAAGUUUUAUAUUCGAUUAAUGAAAUUAUUUAAAUAUCAACACUCUUAACGUAUUUCGUAACAUUUCUAAUUGCUACGUAAGUUUAAAAUUUUAAUAACUGAUUGAGUUUGGUUGUUUAAUUCUCUGACCUAUCAUUUUAGUUUUAAAACUUUCCAAGCCAUCGGCUUAGUUUUACCAGGUAUCAAGUCCAUUCAAGAUAGGCAAAAAUGGCUUUUUAAAAUUGUUUUUCUAAUUUCGAAGAAGGUUGUUGUCGUCUACUUUUAUGGUUGAACGGUUUCAUCUAAAGAUUACACUUUUUCUGCCAUGGAAAAACGAGACCGGCCCUUGUUGCCGAGUUUUAAUCGAGAGGUUUACCGACAAGCCCUUGGCCAUACUCGAAAGGAUACUGACGAUUGCCGGUCGACGUGUUACUUGGAUAGAAGUAAUCUGAACCGUUGUCUUCUUUUUUAUAGCUCGUAUGUUCUCGGAGUACAAUUACUAGGCGAUCCAUUUCAAUAGUUGGUACUCCGAGCACACGUUGAGAUUGUAUUAAUCUGUCUAACGUAAAUUCAGUUGAACUCUCUUUCCUUUCUCUUACUCUCAUUUCUCUCUCUUCUCUUUUUCUCUUUACCUCUUUCUCGCUCACUUAGAGUUCAACAUAAGAUACACAAGUAUAUAUAAAAAAAAAUUUUUCCUUUUUCAACGAAGCGGAACCUUUUAUUGAUCAUCGUUUUAGCUUAAUGGCUUGUUUCACCAGAGUGGAGUGUUUUGGUUAUCGAUAUCUUUGUUCGGUGUCGAAGGUUCAAUUAAACUGUCAGCUACACUUGAAGGGUUCUUUGAGCUACUAUUACUGGAUAUAAUAUUUCUUCGUUUUCUUAAUUCGUUGCUAAAAAGAAGUUUGGUUGUACCCUUUUUCAUAAUUAAUAGAAACUACUAAAGUUAUGGACUUCAUCUUGGCAUUAGGGAUGUUACGGGUACUUCUCCAUCAAGAAACACUGAGGUGACUUAUAUAAGUCGAGUAAAUCGAAGGCACUUAAUUUGAGUAAUUUAUGGACUCUCGCUUUUUGUUUUUUAAUUCUCCUUCAGCAUAUCUUAAACUCUCGUGUAUAACUUAACAUUGGUCUGUAUUACCUUCAUUUACUUGUCGGAAACUCAAAUAGAGCGGACCUAUUUUACUGAUCCCGUUCUUAAGGGUUCUAUCCAACGUGGAUCUAUGAUAGAGCAACAAAUAAGUUUUUAACACUUCGGGGUUAUUCUUUUCUCGGUGUGUAUAUUUGAGAACCUUUCUAUAGAUAAAUGUUUAAAUACAUUUGAGACUUAAAUCAAAAAAAAAGAUUUUAUGUUUUUUAACCUUAAAAGUAUAUACUGAAGUUUUUGUAAGAAAGAAUGUAUGUUUUUUGAUAAUAUGUAUGUACGUUUUUAGAGAGAGAAAUGUUUAUUUGGAAAACAUUGUCUGGUGGUUGAAGGGGAUACUUACCCGGAUGGAUUGAAUGUUUGACGUCAAAACUCCCCCAUAUGUACUUUAAGUCUAAAAUAUCCCCAUAUAUUUAUUAUCUAUAAAACGUCAUUAUAUAGACCUUUUUGGUAUUGGUUAACUCGAUUUGUUUUACGUCAUUUGGGACCUUUGAGCAUUUAGUCAAAGUACAGCUGAGUUAGCAUCUUCUCCUCCAUAUUUGAAUGAACUGUCUCUUGUUUACUUAACUUAUAUUUCCAUAAAAAUUGAAAGAGUCGUACUGACCCUGACAGUAACAAGUUUACGUCUUACGAGGACGGAGACUUCAAGUCACAUUCUUCCUGUCACUAAACUUUGUGUCGGAUGUUAGUGUCGUUCUUUGUUAAUUGUUAUCGUCUAUCAAGAUUGGAAUCUCCUCCACUAUUUGAUUUUUUAUUUUUUAGUCGUCGUUCAAAACCUUCUUGUACUUGGACAUAUUUGUUCAAGGAGGUGUACUAUAAACAUUAGUCUCCGAGAGACGUCUCAUUCUUUUUAUCGGUAAUCCAUCUAGUAAGUACGAUAACUACGAUGCUCUUGUUAACGUUUCGUAUAACUUUCUGCUAAUAUCUCUUUUCCUAAAGACUGUUAGUCAAAUUUCAUUUUAUCCUCGGAAACUCCUGUUGAGAACUGUCAAGUAGAAGGUUUUUGUUUACGUACUUUCGCUGUUAAAUUGUUAUACUUUUUUUUAGUGAAUUCUCCCCCUUAAGAGGUCUGUUUCUAGUCCGUUGACUUCCAUUUUUUUGAAUAUUUAAACAGUACAAUAAUUACUAGACGGAUCAGAAAAGUACAUCCCUCCAACAACAACAGAGUUCUAUACCCGAUAAGUUGAGUUUACUUAUUAUAAUGUUAUCUUUGCUCGCUCGGUUUAGAUUUCAUCGAAUGAUCGAAUAUUCGGUUAUAUUUCUUCAUAGGGUAAAAUGUGUUUCUUUUAAGAUUGGAGGCCGGCUGUCCACUCGCAAAGUAUUCAAGUAGGCAACCACCAAGUCAACGGUUACGUUCUCGGGGUUCACACAGGUACUAUUCCAACUGGGUUUCGUCGACAAGGUUUUUUCUUUUACACGCAAUAUUAUUAUAAGCUGACGUUUAAAACAUCAGGUAACUUUAAUCAAAUCAGGAUAAUCUCUCUCAUUGUAGUGUUCAUGGUUUUGUACGAAUAUGGUAAUGAUCGGUCUUACUACUAUGUCUUUCUGCCGUAGUCUACUGUGAGUAGGUCGAUUCGUGUAGUACGAUUAAAUUUUGUAAAGUGUUCGUUUAAACAAAAACCAAAACCGAUCAGUAAAAGUAGGAUCUAAUCGUCCAUCCUUUUCAUAUCGUAUAAUUUGGACUUGUCGUAAAUUUCCUUGCAACGGUCUUCUUUGUCGUCGUUGGUGCAACUAGUGUUCUCGUCGGUGCAACUGCCACUCGACUUUGACUUAUUUGAAGACCUACAAACGUAUGUGUCUUGCUGGGGUGGCCUGUUGGAUUUUGUUAUUACAUAUUCUACUGGUUAAAUAUAUUGUCCAACUUAGAACUUAAUGUAAAUAGCGAUUUUUUUCUUUCUCGUUUGGAAGUGUUGUCUACGUUUUAACAGUAGUUCUUAUUAUUACAGGCGUGAAAGAAAUCGAUGGAGACAAGGGCUUUACGGGUAACGUUCUGGUUAUAGUCGGACUUUCAGUAUUUGUUCCACUUAACUCUUAAAUAGUAUUUUGUUACUUCGUAAAGUACCGUAUAUAUAAAAUACAGUAGAUUCAGUUUGGAGUACAUUACGUCCUCGUAGUAAACACGGUAGAGGCCAUUGUCGUUGGUGUACCAGAGAUGAGGAGUUUCGAGAAUGUUCGUCGUCGAACAGUAAACCCCUUCUAGAAGGGUAGUGGAUAUUACGGUUUCGUGUAAAUAAAUAGAAGUAAAAAUGUAUGCAAUAAUUAGGAGAUUCCAAAGAUGUUCGUCGUUGAACAAAGUCUUCAUUGUCUGCUUACAGUUCCUUUACCAAUUUAAAGUACCUGUACGAUUUGUAAUUCAUAGUGUUUUGUUUUGUUCGUGUGAUCACUUUGUCUUCUUUUUCCGUGAGUUUACCUGAUUUUUCCUCGAAUUAGUAUGGUUUUGUUUGUUAGAACGUCAAUAUAUUACUUUUUUCAUUUCUAUAUAUACAUAUGAAUUUAUAAUGAUUACGAAAGUUUAUAGAGGUUAAAUGUGUUCUUUUCUCCCGUGACAUGAGAAUGUCUCUAAAGUAAUCGUUAGCGGAGAGAAAGACGUAGUCAUGCACGCGCUUUACAAGAAGGGAGAUAGUGGUGACCGAGACUGUGUAACCCUAGUCAUUCAUAGGGUGUGAGGUUUCGUUACCGAAACCGACAAACUUCUAAUAGGGGUCAUUGGUAUGCAUGGAUGAAUAAAUUUUCUUGUUUGAUUACAUUUAGUCCCGUAAAACAUAGGUAAGAUUAUUGUCUCAAAUCAGUUCUUACUGUUGUAACAGAAACCAUUCACUUUAAGUUGGUUUGAACAGAUGUUUUAAGUGAAGAAGUUUAUUUCCACUUCUUAUGUACAAAGGAUGUUCCUGAUUGUAGCUUAUACAUUAGGGUGAAAGUGUUUACUUGAUCUUUUGGAUGUCUAGAGAUUAUAUUCUAUUAUUUUUAAGUUGUUGUCGUAUUCUUCGAUGCUUUUCAUGGAACUGUGGUCGUAGAGAUGUAUCGUCUUGUCGUAGAGCCUGAGGUCCUGCUGUUCCUAGGAUGUUCAGUUUGUCUACAAUGUGCAUUAUUAUUCUUAGUGGUCCGUAGUAUUUAACGACUCUUAAUGUCGUUUUACUCUUCAUACUUUUGUUACAAAAUCCUAGACUUCAGACUUGAUGUAUAUGUUCCACGGAAAACACUUAACGUAUAGUUAUUGUAUUUACCGUUAUGUUUUACCAUGUUACAAAAAGAACAAGGUGAACGUGAUGACGGGGUCUACCGUGUAUCAACUUCUAAAAGUUCUUAGUAAUAGUAUUGUCGCAAAGUGUACCAAAGAACGUUUAAAUAGCAUCAUAAAACUUAAGGAACAUACGUUAAACCUUACUCUUUCUUGCUUUCUUGUUAUCCUAAGAGGUCGUGCGUGGAACUAGGGGUGUUAUCGUUCGUCUUAGUUCAAUAGGAGUCCGUUGUGGGUCAAAUGAGAGACAAGGAGCGAACCUUGUAAAAGGUUAAGUUUUCCAGACAUACGCUUUCGCUGUGUCGCUUCUGAGGCACGUCGGUAUAGAAGUUAUAGGAAGAACUUAAGUAGUCGGACGUUAUCAAACUACGUACUCGUUUAUAAAAGUUCCAUUUUUAUAUCCCAUUUUACAUACCUAUCAGGGACUUGAUAAGACUGUGGCGUUGAAUUUAGAUUCGAAGUGGAUAUUGAAUAGUAAAAUAUGGAGAACAUUUUACUGAGGGAAUAAAUUACAUUAACUUUAUCCUAAUCUUUCCAGUAACAUAUUUUUGUCAGUUGUCAGUACACACCAGUCUGAAGAAGUUGUGGUCGUUACCCUAACGUUAUAAAGGUCCUGAAUGCACAAAUUUAUUUUUCAAAUGUCUGAUUCAGAGCCAUAGUCCUACCAUCUCUUUUCAGAGUCAUAGUCCUAUGAAUUCUUUGAUAGGUACGUUAAAUGAAUUCGUUUUUAACAACACUAGAGUAUUGGUUGGAAUAGUCUUCAGUAGUCGACGAAGACCGGUAGACGUAGUUCGGUUGAUCACGUACGUCGAUCUUGUUAAAGUCGUCGAGGAAAGGUUACGUGUACUUGAAGUCUUGGAGGGACUUCAUAUUUCGCGUUUUCAUUGUUUUACGUCUUUUCUUCCUAAUUUUUUAAAAUCGUAUGUACUUCUUUCGUAAUACGUUCUUGUUCGUCCUUGUUUUUCUUUCGUGUAUUUACGUAAUUUUUCUCCGGGUGAGUGUACGUUAUCUUUAUUUAGUCCAUAUCGCACUUAGCCCAUAGAGAUUACACACUUGGUCCAUGUCGUUCGACAAGUUAAUAAAUAACUGACCUUUUCGCUUAAGCGUACGUAUGCCUGUACACAUCCGUUAUGUGACUAAUAGACAAUUGAGUUUAACUAAUAUUUCAUCGAAAAAUAGUCGAAGAAACUAUGUCUUGAUCGGUUUUGACAAUCGUCUGUUUUCAGCAUAACCCAAAAGUGUUACUGAUGUGCAAUUGUUCUCCUCGAACGUACUACUACGUGUUAUUUCCCGUUUGACACUUCGUCAUCUCUUUCUCCAUUGUCCAUGUUCACACAUUGUGCAUAUAAUUCUGGAUGUUUUUUUUACGUCCCGAUCUUCGGAUCUUGCUUCGUAUGAACCUCUCAGUAUGAGUAUUACAAGAAAUCAACCUUCAAUAGAGUAUAGAAUAAACUACUAAUCGUCGACGAUAUUUAAUGAUGAUUUAUGUUGUUGAGCUCUUCUUUGUCUUACGUAGACUUUUUGUCUUCUUGUAUGUGUUUAUCUUUAUACAGUGACUUUUUCCUUGUGAUUAGGUAACCAAGUGCUCUCUUUUACGGUGACUUUAAAAACCCAAACUAAUGGUGCACAUGGCGUUGUGGUGGUGCAAAAAAUAGACUCAACUUUCCUUUCUGUACUUCCUAACUUCUAAGACUAGAGUAGAGCAAUUUAAAGUAGGGUUCGAUGUUUUAUAAUCGAGUUUAAUCUCGUUGUAUUUUUAAUAUUUAUAUCUACUAUUUCUCUACUUUUGUCGUUCAGUUGUUUAUUUUCGUGGAAGUGGGGGGUUCUUUCCUACCGGAAAAGUCAUCCUCUAGGCCAGUGAAGUUGUCGUGGUGGGACAACUCAUAUAAAAGUUUCAUCUUAGUACAGUAGUAUGACUGUUUGAUCGCUAUUCCCUUUUCAUUUAUAACACCCUUAAACUCCUUAAUUUUCUGAACUCACGUUAUAAAACGCAAACUGUCAAGUUAACUUCUAUUACUUUGUCACUCAAUGUCUACUUACUACACAACGGUUAUAGCCAAUAGUCGAUAAUAUUUUGAAGGUCGGUUCUAUUGUCGUUAUUUUUAUAGUCUUGACUACGGUGUUCGUGUGAUUGAUACUUUCACGUCGUUUACCAAACCGAUUUGUGGUAAUCUCUAAUUGGUUUGUCUAAAGGGAUCGAGUGGAGACCGAGUAUAUGCGACGGGCUACAUAAAACACGUUAAGGGAGUUCAUAUUCUCAACUCUACCAUCCUCUGUUGUUGAAUUGUAAUAGACCUCCAACAUGCAAGUGCGGUGGUUGUAUGCGGAGUUGUUGUCAGUAGAUUUUAUAACUUAACUCUGUACCGUUCUAGUGUUAUUUUUAAUUUGUUAUAUGUAUUUACAUUAUCUCUUCUUCUUUUUAUCUAUUAAAGAUUACGGGUUCCUAAUGUUAUGUUUGUGUUUUUCUGGAUUGACUUUAGUCGAUUGGAGUAAAUUCCAGUUUCAUGGGCAGAAUAGUGACGUUUAUCAACAUCGACUGGGGUAUCAAAGUGUUCGGCUUUCGGCGGCAUGGACUCUGUCUUCGUGAAUUUUCAGUAUUCCGGUUUUAUACUGAUCGUUGUAAACGUUACAUUCAGUGUUUUUAUAUGCACGGUCUCGGAACAGUCGGUAGUAAAAAGCGUAGCUCAUUCGGUCCGACUUCGUUCUUGUCUCUUUAUCAUUCACAAGGGGAGUUUUCUUUUUUUUCCUUUCUCUUUUUUCCACUUGCGUUUUAGAAAAAUUCCUUUUCCUUUGGUGUUCGUGAAUGCAGUUCCACUGUCGGUUACCAUCGGGAAGUCCGUGGCGUUGUUGUUGUUAUCAGUGGACCAUUAAAAACAGAUAAUUGUAUGUUGCGUUGACCUUUAACAUCUAGAUUAUUCGUCUUAGAGUUCAUUACCUAUGUAUGGCGUUGACAGUUUUAAAAAUGACGAGGCAAUUAACAUCGGAAGUGUAAACAAACAGGAAAAUAUAUAACUUGUCAUGGCAGUCCCAAGAAACAUACCGGUCAUUUCAUAGACUUUCUUAUUCUUUUUAAAACAAUACAUGCCUGUUGAUGGUUUGGAAGUCGGUUUGUGUGUCUCUUUUUACUAAUGGCUCGGUUUUCUUGAUGUUCAUGACGUGGUCGAUGUCUUUCGGGUUGAUAUGGUUACUUUCAUCGCUGGGGUAAAUUCGCGUGGAAAAGGUGUUUUCUGUUACUUUACUUCAGUGUUCUCUUCCUAUAUUCGUGCUAUUCGGUGACCAAUUUAGUCUUUCUUCGUGUAUGGACGUUUCCUCAAAGAAGUGGCCAUAGGAGGCUAUAUGACCGGUAAUUAUUUGGGGUAAGUCAUAACUAAGGUUGUCGUCAUUGGACCUGUAGUAAUUAAUUGAGAAUAUACGUGUGUGCACGGUUGAAGUACGUUAUUGUAAAGUUUUUUCCUAUGUUCUUCGGGCAGUCUGUUUCUACAGUUUUAAAAAGGUUUAUAAUAAACAUAUAAGAUAGAUUUGUUCAUGUUGAUUUUCCCUCUUUAUUUUAUCCUUUAGAUUGAUCAUGGAUUGGUCGUUUCAACAUACCAUUUCGUGUUUCUCUCUACUGUCGUUGAGUGGUUGUACCAUGGUAUUGGUAGUCGUUGAAACGUAGGUCGGUAGUUUUUACCACUGAAGACUAGGAACACCUGGACCUUAUUUAGUACCGUUGCUUAAUAAACAUCGAGUUGUACACGUACGAGUCUCCACAUAUCUUACUCCUUUGAGUGAUAGAACGAAAGGGGCCAGUAUGAUCUAAGUAGUUACCGUUCUCUUACUGGUGAUUAAUUCUACGGUAGUCGUCCCUGGAUGUUCGUGCAAAUGUCUCGGUAAAGUUAUACUUUUUUUAUUGUUUCCUUUGAUAGUAUAUUUCCUUGUAUAUUAGUAAAGAACUUAGUUUGGACUAGUGGCUAAAACUCUCCUUGUUGUAGUGGUUGUUGUUAUAGUUUAUAACUCUGGCCCUGAGAAGAUGGUGGAGAUUACUGGACGUAUAGUUUUAAAGAUUCUGGUGUCUCCUUUUGAUUUUCCUGUUUGACUAAAUCCUUUGUAAAAGUCUAUACUAUUUUGUAUGGAGGUAUACAUACAAAAGGAAAAGGAGCAAUUCCGAAACCUUGACUUCGCUAACGAAUAUCAGUGACUAUCGACAGUCCUUUGGGGUUUUUUUCUCCGAUGUCAGUUAGUACUUUAUUUAGUAUUUUUCUUGUGUUUCCUUCGAGAUAAUUUAAAAUCGUUCUUAUAUAAAAAUUUUUCAUUUUUAUUACAUGAGAUAAAUUGAAUAAUAACUCUAUUAACCACUUUGAAAAGGGUCUUUUUCAAAAUGAGGUAACAUCAAGUAUCGAUUUUGAAGCAAUGUUAAAAUCGAUUUAACGUGCUAACGUGCUAAAUACACUGAUUCAACGAACUUAUCAGUAAAAGAUUAGAUGUGUAGUCGUAGUUGGAGUUCUAUGGAUUUAUCGAAUUUUUAUAAAGUAAAGAAUUUUGACUAUAUCGUAGGACGAGUACUAUACUAUUUUGAUUUCGAUUAUAUAAAGUAAAGAAUUUUGACUAUAUCGUAGGACGAGUACUAUACUAUUUUGAUUUCGAUUAUAGGUCUUUGAAACCGAGAACUGUUCUUCGUUCUAAGAGUGUAAUAAAGAGAAAGAUUGUCUUCUGAAGUUAUGUAUAACUUUAGUAGUGAGUUGGUGUUAGAACCAUUUAAGAUCACACAAGAAAAAGUAAGAACAAAUAUUGGUUAGAAGUCGUCGUCUUUAUUGACAAAAUGAAUCUCAUUCUUUGUAAUGAAAGAAGACUGCUGAGUGAUUAUGGUGUAAAAUUAUCCGUGUAUAGUCCCAAAUUUAAUAGACUGGAUUCUAUUACGGUACGAUAUUAGGUCGAUUUUAUAAUGUUACAUGUUUCCCAUUUUAGCAAUCGGACAUGUUGUUCUUUUGAGUUUAUUGAAUUAUCUAGAUCUAAUGUACAAACAUUUAAGAUUGUUCUUAAAUAUUCGUUAUCGUAUGGUCAUUGUUAAUACUGUUCUUUUUGCCGUUUCCGUUACGAUGGUGGUAGUAUGGUAGGAAGAAAUUAUGGGAUGUAACCUUUCCAGCUUGUACAACUUAUUGAGUUCUUGCUAAUUUUUAUCAUAUCGUCAAUGUUUUUUUUUCCAGGAACACGUAUAUUGAUCGUUAUUUAUCAUUUUCGACUACAUGACAGACAUUCUCUGUUACGUGCGCUAGUCUUGUGAUUCCUGGCUUUAAUAUCACAUUUAGGUAAAUAAAUUAGAACUUUUAACUUUCGUGUCUUUUUACUACUUUUUUGAUCCCGUGUAUGUCUUUAGUUUAUCUGGUAGGAAUAUUAAAGUAUUCGUUUAGUAUGAAAGCCUCGUGAAUGAGGAUUUGCACAAUGUUAAAUCAUUAGUGUAUUUAUUGUCGACUCUUAGUUGUUGCGUCUUUUUAUCAUACUUUCUCUAUGUUUAUGCAGAAACGUGAUCUGUUUGAACCUUUUAUCUAUUUUGAUAUUUUCUCAUGUCUGUGUGUGUAAAAUCUAUCAUCUUUACGUAUUCUGACUGUGUUUCUACUCGUUCACUUGUAAUGGAGACAGAAUUACGGAUUAUGAUCUCUAUAUUGGCGUCGAUAUUAUUCCUACUAUUCUCAGUCUAGAACCGUUCGAAGGGUGUCCUUUUGGACAACAUAAUUCUCUCUCUCAGUUCACUAUCCUUUCUCGUUUUUGCAAGUUCGACUAGUUAUUGGUGUCACUCCGUUCUACCUCUUUGUUUGGUUCUUCGAAGAAGGAAAGAAUGCUCCUAUAGAUAAUCGGGGUUCACGUAAGGCAGAUGAGUUAUUCAGAAGUAGUAGGGGUGUUUAUGGGAAAAGAUUUAACCAGAAAUCGUUUAAACGAUAGGGAAAGUGGACGUUCCUUUAAGUACGUAUAUUUAUUGUUGACAAUCGUAAUUUUGAGUAGAUUGUCAGCGUCAUUAUCUUCCGUGAACGGGGAGGUAUAAGGUCAUUUCGUCUUAUUAACACUAGGGAUCAGUAACGCCAUUCGACGAGAACAGGUUAAGGUUUUGGUCCUCAUUGGUGACGUGUUCAUUUUUUUUCCAUAAUGUAGUACCAGCCCCUUUUUCUUUGAUUGUCCUUUAUGACUUUUGAAGUCUAACUUUAAGAUAUUGAUAGCUUUCUUUGGAUUAAACGAUUUAAGCGUUACAUUCCUAUCAAAUGAUUCGUAUACCUCUGUCUUACAUAGUAAAUAGUUUUUCUUCAAAUAACGCAAGUAGAAGUAAACCGUAAUUAACAGUCGUCUAUACGAUCUCUUCAAUCUGUCGAAUUCCGUCGAACGGGAGGUAUAUAUCUGUAUAUAGAACUAUUUUGUAAUGAGAGUAAUUCUCCUUUAAAGUGGAUCCAACGUUCUCGGAUUUAAUGUUCACUUUUCAUUUAAUGAUAUCUGCAGUUCACUUGAUUGUCUAAAUAACUUUAGGGAGAUAUCAUACUAAAAUGUAAAAGGGACAAUCGUAGUCAGGGACCCCAAUUAAAACUCAACUAUUUAAUGGUAUUUCUAUUUAAGUAAGGAAUUUUUAACGUGAUCAUUCGUGUUUUAAUUAGAGAUAUAAGACUUUGUGUCUUAGUCGAUCUAAUUAGAUGAUCAUCUAACCAACCCUCCCCUGGGAUGCUUCAAUUAGACUUUUUUUUUACUUUUUUUACCCUUCCUCUACUUACUAUAUUUGCACUAAUAGUGUUCGUUGUGUACCAACUUCUGCGUCGUAAAUUGAUAACGUACUUUUAUUUAUCGAUAGAACAAAUCAAAUCAUGGACCACCGAGGGCACAAAGACUUUGUACAGAAAGGGGUCGGAGAAACUUUUCUUUACGUCGGAUUCUUUCCUUUUCUAUCGUAUCGUCUUGUAAACUUUUCAUCAGUAUUUGAUCAGAGUUUUAUUUAAUUUACAUAAGAUAAAAAAUGAGUAAAAUAUAUUAAAGGAAACAGUUUUAGGAUUGAUUGAUUUGAAUAUGAUUAAUUGGAUCACCUAUUAUGAAAAUCCUAAUAAUUUUAUUUUUAUUUUUUAAUCUUUGAAACGAACUCAUCGCGCGGCCUCUAUACAGUGGUUAUUAAAUAUACAUUUUUCAAGCAGUUUUGAUUUGACCACAUGGUCUCAUUAAACAAAGAUCAAUUUGUGAUCAAAUUAAAGGCUCAAUUAAUUAUACGCAACAACUCUAAAAAUUAUUGGACCACAACAUGAUGGUAGAGUACGUAACAAGCAAAACUAAAUUUUCUUAAUCUAAGAAUCACAUGGGAACAGUACUCUAGCAUCUUCUAUUGACUUAUUAUGUAGGCUUAGAUGUUUCCCAACUUAAAUAUUAAACCCCCGAAAAAAAAAAAAAAAAAACUCAAACUGCUGAUGAAUGUCAACUGUCCUUGUCCCGUACGAAAGUCAAUGGUGUGCAACAAGCAAUGGAGUAAUGGAGUUAGGGGAUGUCAUUGGGUAUGGAUACCUGAAAUAUUAUCCGAAUCCGAACCCGAACGGAACAGGUUUAUCCGAGCUAAACGGGUAUAGAUUCGGUUAUGAAUAUAGAAAAUAAAAAUCCGACGGAUAUGAAUACAGGUAUGGAUUUUGUAUUUAUCCGAACCGAAUCCGAACUCGAACCCGAAUAAAUUAUAUAUACACAUAAUUUAUUUUUAUUUAUUUAUAUAAUAUAUAAAAUAUGUAAUAAUUUUUAUCCUUUAAAUCUUUAUUCAACGGUAUGGAUUUUUAAAAUCAGCCGAGUUUGGGUCCAGGUUCGGGUUUCUGGUUUUUAGUUGGGUACGGAUAUGGAUAUAGAUUUUUAAAAUCCGCCGGGUUCGCGUCCGGAUACGGAUCUUAAUUUGAUUUUCGGAUUCGAGUUCGGAAUUUUAAAAACCCGAUACAAAUCCGGCCUUUUGACAUCACUAGCUAAAUGGAGUUCACUACUUUAAUGGCACGGAUUUUCUGCAACUCUGUUGAUUCUUCUAAAUAAGUAACUAUGCUAGUUUAUUAGUCGUUUAAAAGGUUUGAGUCCAUGGUUUCAGAUGAUGAGACUAAGCAAUGUGUAGAAAUUCUUUACAUAUUAAUUAUAGGAGAAAUGAUUCGGUACUUUUUUUAAAAAAAAAUAAAAAAGAUCUUAACCGUUGAUUAAUAGAGGGUAAAAAUGUAACUUUAAUACUUAGCAGGUAAAAGGAUUAUUUUAUUCAAGGUUAGUUUGGUAAUUAAAUAAUACAAUAUUUAAAGAAUCUUUUAAUUGAGGUCCUAAAUUUAUGCAUUAAUUAGUACUAAUUUAGGAAAUUAAUUGAUUAACCAAAUUUAUGAAAUUAUUAGGUAUUAAUUUAGGAAUCUACUUUAAAUGUUUUAGUGUUUCUCAAAUUAUGCAUUAAUUUAAAUUAUAGAAAUUUUAGAAAUAGUUUUAUUUCUAAAUACGAUGAAUUUAAAUUUUAAAAAUUAAAUACUUAGAAUUUAAAAGUGAAAUUUAAAUUAGAGAAAUUUCAUAUUACUAUUUAAAAACUAAAUUUUUACCAAGAUUUAAAAUACAGUUUAUUCGCAUCAGUUUAAAACGUAAUGCAUAAAAAACUUAGAGAGUAAGAUUUCUACAACUAGAUUUCUCUAGAGGAAUUUUAUAUUACUAUUUAAAUUUUAAAUUCAAUGAUUUAAAAACUAGAUUGAACCGAUUGAUUUGACUGAUCAGACUUUGACCUAUUCUAUCAAGAAUCUGAUUUUAACCUAUUGAACCGAAUAACAUUAAGAACAAUUUGGAACCGGUAAAAAUAAUAAAUAUUUUAAACAGAAUAAUAAUUUAACUAUUAGAGCUAAUAAAUAUUUUAAAUAUAAUUUUAAACAUAUAAAUUAAAAAGAUUAGAAUUAUUGGUGAGAAAAAAAAUAGUUAGGAAUUUGAAUUCGANNNNNNNNNNNNNNNNNNNNNNNGUGUGUGUGUGUGUGUGUGUGUGUGUGUGUGUGUGUGUGUGUGUGUGUGUGUGUGGUU
rnacentral:lncRNA from 1 species